ACCUCAUGGUUCAGGCAUUGCAUAUGUUUGUCAUUGAACCUUUGUCAUACCUCAUAUAAGGGCUCACUACUAAGUUGAUGAAAAAUUGUGAUUUCUUCUCUAAGUU
rfam:Capsicum annuum cultivar Zunla-1 chromosome 9, whole genome shotgun sequence